AGUCUGGUGCCAGCAGCCGCGGUAAUUCCAGCUCCAAUAGCGUAUAUUAAAGUUGCUGCAGUUAAAAAGCUCGUAGUUGGAUCUGGGGCUUGAGGUCGCUGUCUAUCGUUUCGGCGAUGACGGUGAUGCUCAGCUCUGCUUGCCGGUGACUGUUGCGGUGUUCUUCACUGAGCGCUGUAGCAGCACGGCACGUUUACUUUGAAAAAAUUAGAGUGCUCAAAGCGUGCUUGUCGCUUGAAUAAUGUUGCAUGGAAUAAUGGAAUAGGACCUCGGUUCUAUUUUGUUGGUUUUCGGAGCUUGAGGUAAUGAUUAAGAGGGACGAACGGGGGCAUUCGUAUUGCGGUGUUAGAGGUGAAAUUCUUGGAUCGCCGCAAGACGGACUACUGCGAAAGCAUUUGCCAAGAACGCUUUCAUUAAUUAAGAACGAAAGUCAGAGGUUCGAAGACGAUCAGACACCGUCCUAGUUCUGACCAUAAACGAUGCCGACCAGCGAUCCGUAGUGGUUGCUUUAUGGACCCUACGGGCAGCCUCCGGGAAACCAAAGUAUUUGGGUUCCGGGGGAAGUAUGGUUGCAAAGCUGAAACUUAAAGGAAUUGACGGAAGGGCACACCAGGAGUGGAGCCUGCGGCUUAAUUUGACCCAACACGGGAAAACUCACCCGGUCCGGACACCGUAAGGAUUGACAGACUGAUAGCUCUUUCUUGAUUCGGUGGAUGGUGGUGCAUGGCCGUUCUUAGUUGGUGGAGUGAUUUGUCUGGUUAAUUCCGAUAACGAACUAGACUCUAGCCUGCUAAGUAGUGUUGCUAUUGUUAUAUGGUUGACACUUCUUAGAGGGACAAGUGGCAUUUAGCCACGCGAAAUUGAGCAAUAACAGGUCUGUGAUGCCCUUAGAUGUCCGGGGCCGCACGCGCGCUACACUGGAGAAGUCAGCGUGUGUUAUCCAAGUCCGAAAGGACUGGGUAAUCCGUUGAACCUUCUUCGUGCUUGGGACUGUGGCUUGGAACUAUUCCACAUGAACGAGGAAUUCCUAGUAAUUGCAAGUCAUAAGCUUGCGUUGAUUACGUCCCUGCCCUUUGUACACACCGCCCGUCGCUACUACCGAUUGAAUGGUUUAGCAAGGUCCUCGGAUCGUGGCCGUAGGGGCACGCAAGUGUUUCUGCGGUUUGCGAGAAGACGACCAAACUUGAUCAUUUAGA
rnacentral:rRNA from 1 species